rnacentral:rRNA from 1 species
CGGUAAUUCCAGCUCCAAUAGCGUAUACUAAAUUUGUUGCAGUUAAAAAGCUCGUAGUUGGAUUUCUGAUCGGUGUGAUGCUCCAGUUCUUUGAAUUGUGUAAAUCAUGCUGUUCAUCCUGGGAAAUCGCGGUUUGGGCAUUCAUUUGUUCAUACUGGCAAUUCCCUCGUUUACUUUGAGAAAAUUAGAGUGUUCAAAGCAGGCUUACGCUUGAAUACAUUAGCAUGGAAUAAUAUUAUAGGACUUUGGUCUUAUUUUGUUGGUUUCUAGGACCGAAGUAAUGAUUGAUAGGGACGGUUGGGGGCAUCAGUAUUUCAAAGCGAGAGGUGAAAUUCUUGGACCUUUGGAAGACUAACAACUGCGAAAGCAUUUGCCUAGGACGUUCUCUUUAAUCAAGAACGAAAGUUAAGGGAUCGAAGACGAUCAGAUACCGUCGUAGUCUUAACUAUAAACUAUGCCAGCUAGGGAUUGGGAGCUAUCUUCCUUGAUGCUUUCAGCACCUUAUGAGAAAUCAAAGCAUUUGGGUUCCGGGGGGAGUAUGGUCGCAAGGCUGAAACUUAAAGGAAUUGACGGGAGGGCACCACCAGGAGUGGAGCCUGUGGCUUAAUUUGACUCAACACGGGAAAACUUACCAGGUCCGGACGUAGUAAGGAUUGACAAACUGAAGGUCUUUCUUGAUUCUAUGGGUGGUGGUGCAUGGCCGUUCUUAGUUGGUGGAGUGAUUUGUCUGGUUAAUUCCGUUAACGAACGAGACCCCAGCCUGCUAAUUAGUGUGAGGAAUUUCUAAUUCCAUGACUCUUCUUAGAGGGACAAGUGUGUGUAUAACCACAGGAAGUUUGGGGCAAUAACAGGUCUGUGAUGCCCUUAGAUGUUCUGGGCCGCACACGGGCUACACUGCAGCUAACAACGAGCAUUCCCCUGUUCGAAAGUUCCGGGUAAUCUUUUGAGAUAGCUGCGUGAUUGGGAUAGACUAUUGCAAUUAUUAGUCUUCAACGAGGAAUUCCUAGUAAACGCAAGUCAUCAGCUUGCAUUGAUUACGUCCCUGCCCUUAGUGCACACCGCCC